UGGAAGGUUGCAAUCCUAUUAGUCAGAUGCUGUAAAAGUUGGGUUUUUAAUUACCUUGGAGUCAAGAUAACUCUUCCCUUUCUGAGCUGCUCAGAAUUAUUCAGAGAUACACAUUCAGUGGAAGGAUUUGGCCUCCAAAUUUUAAGUACAAUUACUUCUAAACACAGGGUGGAAUACAGACUUUUUUCUUAUCAACAAGCAUCUCUCUUACCUGACCUGUCUCCUGCCCCUUUGUCUUCAUCCUGUGUGAUUCAGGGUUCAUGUGACUUCCUUCACAUCCUACCCUCAGUCUCACACCUUCCACCAGUGACAGUGUGAUUACCUGGAACAAGGGACCUGGGGACUGUCAGGGGACAGGUCUGUACCACGGUUUGUUUGUGUCAAAGUCCAAAAAAGCCUGACUGUGAGAGGGGAUCUCAGGACAGCACACUGGCAGGGAGCCAAGAGGAGCGUGUCAGUGGCUGUGUGUUGUAAACCAGCAGCAAUCCUUCUGCCACCGUGGAUUGCAAAAACAGCAGCACUGCCAAUGUUUAUGUGACUCUGGCAUCCUGACUGAGAAUCUUUUAGUUACAUCACAGCAACAUAAGCAGUUUUGCACCAUUCUUCUCUACAAAGGGGAGAAGCUGCAGCCCUGAGGGCAGCUGUAGAAAGUCCAGGUGCUGUGCUACUGCUGAUCCCUCCUGCUCCUAAGCCAGAGCCCUGCACCAUCUCUCAGUUCUUUCAUCUGUGGAAGGAGGUAGAUGUGACAUAAUGAUUUGCACCAAUUCUCCUCUUUUUAACCUGAAAAUGACUGGGCAUGUAGUGAUGAGAACAGAGAGAACAAGUUUCCUGGAGAAAGGUGUAUUUCCUUCAGCAUUCCUUUGGCUGGGCCCAUGGUCAUUUUGUUGGAUCCAUCAUUUGUGCAUGUCUGCUGACCCAUCACACUGCUUGUGACAAACUGUGCUCUCAUUCUCAAUUAGUGUUUUAAUGAAAUUAAUAGCACUGACAUAGCUGCAUGGUCAAGUGCCACUCCAGAGUGAAGCCUGUGAGCCCUUUUAGUGCAACAAAAAGGGGAGAAAUGGCAGGUUUGGAUCCAACUACAUAAAAAGUUGAGAAGAUGACUAGAAUUAUUCAGGCAUGAAGAAAAUAGCAUGUGAAGGUUUCUGGUGAUGUGUGUCACGGAAUCAUAGAAUCACAGACUCAU